UUACGGCCAUAUCACAUUGAAACAUCUUUUCUCACCCGAGCACCAAAGUUAAGCAACGUCGAACCUUGUUAGUACUUAGGUGAGUAAACACUUGUGAAUACCAGGUGUUGUAAG